rnacentral:ncRNA from 1 species
GCAGAGUAGACCACAAUGCGUAAAGUGCCGCCGAGACGGGGAGUUGUUCGGUGGACGAAAGGGAGUUUUCCCUGCGGUAUUGUGAUCGCAUCCCGCUGC